rnacentral:rRNA from 1 species
CGGUAAUUCCAGCUCCAAUAGCGUAUAUUAAAAUUGUUGCGGUUAAAACGCUCGUAGUUGGAUAUCUGCUAAGGGGUUCCGGUCCUUCCCAGUGAAGAAAACACGGAACUCUUCUUGGCAUUUGCUCAGGGAAGGUGUUUGCACUUUAUUGUGUGUCACGUGAUCUGAAUUUUUACUUUGAGGAAAUGAGAGUGUUCCAAGCAGGCUUUUGCCGUGAAUAUGAUAGCAUGGAAUAAUAGCAUAGGACCCCUUUCCAAAGCUGUUGGUUUUUGGAACGAGGUAAUCAAAAUAAGGAUAGUUGGGGGUAUUCGUAUUUAACUGUCAGAGGUGAAAUUCUUGGAUUUUUUAAAGACGAACUAUUGCGAAGGCAUCUGCCCAGGAUGUUUUUGUUGAUCAAGAACGAAAGUUAGGGGAUCGAAGACGAUCAGAUACCGUCCUAGUCUUAACCUUAAACUAUGCCGGCUGGAGAUUGGAGUCGUCAGAAUUGUGACGUCUUCAGCAUCCUGAGAGAAAUCGAAGUCUUUGGGUUCCGGGGGGAGUAUGGUCGCAAGGCUGAAACUUAAAGGAAUUGACGGAAGGGCACCACCAGGAGUGGAGCCUGCGGCUUAAUUUGACUCAACACGGGGAAACUCACCAGGUCCAGACAUAGAUAGGAUUGACAGACUGAUAGCUCUUUCUUAAUUCUAUGGGGUGGUGGUGCAUGUCCGUUCUUAGUGGGUGGAGUGAUUGGUCAGGUUAAUUCCGUUAACGAACGAGACCUUAACAUGUUAAAUAGUGUCCAGAACUUCGGUUCUCGGGUUACUUAUUAGAGGGACUUCGUGUGUUUAACUCGAGGAAGUGCGAGGCAAUAUCAGGUCUGUGAUGACAUUAGAUGUCCUGGGCUGCACGCGCGCUACAGUGAUCAGUACAAUAAGCACCUAACCUAAUCCGAAGGGGCCGGGUAACCUUAGCAAAGCGCAUCGUGAUGGGGAUAGAUUAUUGCAAUUUUUAGUCUGGAGCGAGGAAUUUAUAGUAAGCUCAAGUCAUCAGCUUGUGUUGAUUACGUCCCUGCCCUUUGUACACACCUCCCGUCGCUCGUACCGAUGGAGCGAUCCGGUGAAUAGUUCGGACUGCAACCGGUGCGGUUUCCGUACCCUAAGCAAAAGAGUAGAAUAAACCUUAUCGAGGAGAGGAAGGAGAAGUCGUAACAAGGUGUACCGUAGGUGACAGAGCAGAAGGAUCAAAGGGUGAAUCC